UAUGAAGGGGGCUAGCGUUGCUCGGAAUCACUGGGCGGAAAGGGUGCGUAGGCGGGUCUUUAAGUCAGGGGGGAAAUCCUGGAGCUCAACUCCAGAACUGCCUUUGAUACUGAGGACCUUGAGUUCGGGAGAGGUGAGUGGAACUGCGAGUGUAGAGGUGAAAUUCGUAGAUAUUCGCAAGAACACCAGUGGCGAAGGCGGCUCACUGGCCCGAUACUGACGCUGAGGCACGAAAGCGUGGGGAGCAAACAGG
rnacentral:rRNA from 1 species